rnacentral:rRNA from 1 species
CGUAUCACCCAAGACAACUUUACGGAGUUGACGAUUGACGGAGCGAAGCGACGUCAAAGCGUUCAUUAAAGUCGAGUUGGCUUAGGGAUACGUUCGUUGGGUAGGGGAGCGUUCUGUAAGCCUGUGAAGGUGUGUCGUGAGGCAUGCUGGAGGUAUCAGAAGUGCGAAUGCUGACAUAAGUAACGAUAAAGCGGGUGAAAAGCCCGCUCGCCGGAAGACCAAGGGUUCCUGUCCAACGUUAAUCGGGGCAGGGUGAGUCGACCCCUAAGGCGAGGCCGAAAGGCGUAGUCGAUGGGAAACGGGUUAAUAUUCCCGUACUUGGUGUUACUGCGAAGGGGGGACGGAGAAGGCUAUGUUGGCCGGGCGACGGUUGUCCCGGUUUAAGCGUGUAGGUGUGUGUUCCAGGUAAAUCCGGUUCACUUUAACACUGAGGCGUGACGACGAGGCACUACGGUGCUGAAGCAACAAAUGCCCUGCUUCCAGGAAAAGCCUCUAAGCAUCAGGUAACACGAAAUCGU